AUGAACGCUGGCGGCGUGCCUAAUACAUGCACGUCGAGCGAACAGACGAGGAGCUUGCUCCUCUGAUGUUAGCGGCGGACGGGUGAGUAACACGUGGAUAACCUACCUAUAAGACUGGGAUAACUUCGGGAAACCGGAGCUAAUACCGGAUAACAUGUUGAACCGCAUGGUUCAACAGUGAAAGACGGUCUUGCUGUCACUUAUAGAUGGAUCCGCGCCGCAUUAGCUAGUUGGUAAGGUAACGGCUUACCAAGGCAACGAUGCGUAGCCGACCUAAGAGGGUGAUCGGCCACACUGGAACUGAGACACAGUCCAGACUCCUACGGGAGGCAGCAGUAGGGAAUCUUCCGCAAUGGGCGAAAGCCUGACGGAGCAACGCCGCGUGAGUGAAGAAGGUCUUCGGAUCGUAAAACUCUGUUAUUAGGGAAGAACAAAUGUGUAAGUAACUAUGCACGUCUUGACGGUACCUAAUCAGAAAGCCACGGCUAACUACGUG
rnacentral:rRNA from 1 species